CACACCGCCCGUCGCUACUACCGAUUGAAUGGCUCAGUGAGGCCUUCGGACUGGCUCGGAGAGGUUGGCAACGACCAUUCUGAGCCGGAAAGUUGUCCAAACUCGGUCAUUUAGAGGAAGUAAAAGUCGUAACAAGGUUUCCGUAGGUGAACCUGCGGAAGGAUCAUUACCAAAACAUGGGAUUCUGUCGCCACACUGGUAUAGUACCAGUGUGUAAAUGCAGAUCCUGUCUGAACCCUUGUCUCUGUGUACCAUUUGUUUCCUUGGUGGGCUUUGCCUGCCAAACGGACACUAUUCAACCUCUUGUAAUUGCAAUCAGCGUCAGAAAAACAUAAUAGUUACAACUUUCAACAACGGAUCUCUUGGUUCUGGCAUCGAUGAAGAACGCAGCGAAAUGCGAAAAGUAGUGUGAAUUGCAGAAUUCAGUGAAUCAUCGAAUCUUUGAACGCACAUUGCGCCCUUUGGUAUUCCAAAGGGCAUGCCUGUUCGAGCGUCAUUUGUACCUUCAAGCACUGCUUGGUGUUGGGUGUUUGUCCGUGUUUUAUGCAUAGACUCGCCUCAAAGCUAUUGGCAGCCGGCAAUUAGCCUUGGAGCGCAGCACAUUUUGCGCCCCUUUGCUGGAAUGUUGGCGUCCAUCAAGUCUACACAUUUGCUCUUGACCUCGGAUCAGGUAGGGAUACCCGCUGAACUUAAGCAUAUCAAUAAGCGGAGGAAAAGAAACCAACAGGGAUUGCCCUAGUAACGGCGAGUGAAGCGGCAUCAGCUCAAAUUUGAAAUCUGGCUCUUUUAGGGUCCGAGUUGUAAUUUGCAGAGGGCGCUUUGGCGUUGGCAGCGGUCCAAGUUCCUUGGAACAGGACGUCACAGAGGGUGAGAAUCCCGUACGUGGUCGCUAGCCUUCGCCGUGUAAAGCCCCUUCGACGAGUCGAGUUGUUUGGGAAUGCAGCUCUAAAUGGGAGGUAAAUUUCUUCUAAAGCUAAAUACUGGCCAGAGACCGAUAGCGCACAAGUAGAGUGAUCGAAAGAUGAAAAGCACUUUGGAAAGAGAGUCAAACAGCACGUGAAAUUGUUGAAAGGGAAGCGCUUGCAGCCAGACUUGCUUGUAGUUGCUCACCCGGGCGUUGUCCGGUGCACUCUUCUACAGGCAGGCCAGCAUCAGUUUGGGCGGUUGGAUAAGGGACUCUUUCACGUACCUCCUUUCGGGGAGGCCUUAUAGAGGAGUCGAAGUACAACCAGCCUGGACUGAGGUCCGCGCAUCUGCUAGGAUGCUGGCGUAAUGGCUGUAAGCGGCCCGUCUUGAAACACGGACCAAGGAGUCUAACAUCUAUGCGAGUGUUUGGGUGUCAAGCCCGAACGCGUAAUGAAAGUGAACGGAGGUGGGAUCCCUUUAGGGUGCACCAUCGACCGAUCCUGAUGUCUUCGGAUGGAUUUGAGUAAGAGCAUGGCUGUUGGGACCCGAAAGAUGGUGAACUAUGCUUGAAUAGGGUGAAGCCAGAGGAAACUCUGGUGGAGGCUCGCAGCGGUUCUGACGUGCAAAUCGAUCGUCAAAUUUGGGCAUAGGGGCGAAAGACUAAUCGA
rnacentral:rRNA from 1 species